rnacentral:lncRNA from 1 species
UCACCAACAUUUGAGAAAGUAAUGAUAGCCCUGACCCCUUUGGGAUAGGAGUGCUUAGAGUGGAGAAUGAGUUAGCUGGAGCUUGCAGAUAAUUCUGUAUCAUGGAAAGCCCAGCCUAUUGAAAUAUGGGAGAGUUGGACCCUUUAAAUCUGCAGAGGUGUCUGUAUUUCUUCCUCGCCAUGCCAUGAUAAUCACAGGUGUCAUGUGGGUCCCCUGAGAUCCUCUGAGGAAGAUGAGCUUCAGUCUUCUCCAUGUGGGCUGAAUUGGCUCUGAGUUCUUCUCCAUAGUCCUUCUCCAUGUUUCUCUGCCUGCUCUGCCAGGAGGCUGACCACUAGGGACUGUGCCACAGGCAUCUUUGCACUCUGGCUUCCGGUUGGGGAAGACUUUUGCACGUGAGGAAGGACCACAAGGAAACUGAGAGGAGAGAGGUCUGGGGGGUUCAUUCCUCAGCUCCCUCCUUGGUCACAGGUGGGCAGGGGGUGCGUUCCUCCAUAGGAGGCCACAGUUCCUGUUGGUGACCUGCUCCUUCCUUCACCCAGAGCCACAGCUCCUUCUGGGUUUUGACAACCACUCCAUUCCCUUGCCUGUUUGGUCCUAAGAGCAGUAAUGGCUUCCAAAUGGUCUUAAGACCCACACACCCUCACCAUCCUUUGCUGGUUUCCUCUAACCCUACCCACAAUUUUAUACUCUCUUCAUUAAGCUCUCCUCAGUUAUCCCCAUUUAGUGUACCAACCCUCUGCUCAUAGAGCAUAUUACCUUUAUUCCCCAAGGGCUGUGCCUACGGAAGGUAGGCAGCAGUGAGAAGGGAGACCUAGCAGGUAUAAUUGCGUCUUCCUUAGAAAAUCCUGGCUUUAUGCCAUAUCAUUCACAUCCCAAUAGUACAUGACUUAGAUUAGCCAAGCUUAAUCUUAGAACAGUGUUUGUCUGCCUUCAUCUCCAAGGGUUUCUAUGUGCUCUAAAACUCGCUCUUUAGAAUACUAAAGUACAGGAGAGUGUUCCUUUUAAAACUAACAGGUUUAUCUGGGUGUCAACAAUGUUCCAGGCUAUUCUUUAUCUAAAUUCAUCCAACUCUAUUACUCACUGUACUUUUUCAUGCCUCCAUGUAGCUUUCUGACCUUGGACGUCUUUUCUACGCAUCCCCAGCUCUUCAUACCUCAGUCUUUCUUGUCCAGUUAACACUACUCCUCUUAAUUCAUCCGUCUAGCUGUGUGCUAAAUUUUGAGCAUUGCUACAUGGUAGAUGCCUCAACAAAAGAGACACAUGAAAGCCUUUCCUAAAAGUCCAUUCUCUUCUCUUCUGGCUCCAGAAACCAUGCACUGGUUCUGUUAUGAUCACAUUCUUGGCACUCUUAGCAUUAUCUUCAGGCCUGUCUUUGCCACUUUAUCAUGAGCUUCUUGAGGACAGAACAUACGUUUUGAUCUCAGUCAUCUCCUUAAGAACCGCAUACAUAUCGAGUACAUAGCAUGUACUUAGUUAUUGCCUGAAGAAUCAAAAUGAGUCACUGAGAUAGCCUUACCUCUAAGGGCCAGCAAAUGCACUGAACAACUGAUCUGACAUGGAAGAAUGCAUUCACAGGCUGGAACCUGUCAGAUAUUCCAGAGUUGGGAAUUCGUGGGUUUUGGCCAACUUGAGCAACUUAUACUUAAGACAGUGAUAUUAAACCCCGGAAAGGGGGCAUUUCACAGAAAGCUAGAACAGAGAAGUUGCCCAAUCAAAGCUGCCCCAGUCACAAAGUAAGUUCAGUUCCUCCCCACCUCCUCAGUCCUUCUCCUCCCUAAAGCUUUAAAUAACUAGCCAGAACAGCUUUAGUCACUCUGGAAAAAUUUAUGUAACUUCUGAUAAAGUCUAGCCCCAACAUCCCUCUCAUGCUGACUCAUUUGCCCAAAAUAUGCCUGACCAGUGAGGCAGAAAUAAUGACUUUUACUGGCUUUUAACGAUCAGUCUCCCAGCUCUGUUUCCCUUAGUCCUGGGGCAGAUUCUAAUUUGGUACAGAAAAAAAAAAGUAUGCUUGCCAAUUUUCAUCUUGGAAUGACUGAAGAAAAUGUAUAUGAUUAUGCUAAAGGCACAUAUAUUUAUAUUAAAGUGUCAUUCACAGCCUCCACCCCCACUUCACACUCCACCAUCUCUCCCAUCACCAGAUAAUUGUUUCAACCUAAUUGCAUCUUGGACUUAUGCCAUUGCCCUAUAUUAAAAGAAAUGAAGUUAAACAUCACCGCAAGGAGAUUAAGAAUAACAUCUUCUUUAUAGAAACUUUCAGAAAACCUUUCUACUUUGCUAUGGGGAAUGGCUGUCAAUUGACAAAGCAAUUGAUUUGAUUUAUCUUAUGUUAGAAGUAUUGCAAUAAGUGUCAUUGAUUCAGUUUCCCUUUAUAUACUAGAACUGUGAAAGGUUCCAGCCAAUGUUUGCACCCCAUUUGCAAAGAGGGUAGGUCUCUGAAAGGCAUGGUUUUAUUUAGCCCUCACUUCUGCUUCCAUUUCACAUUCACGCCUCUUUGGCCCUUUCUUUGUCUUCUGCUUUAGACUUGUCUUGAUAUAUCUUUUGUAUUUUUGUGGGAUGCCUAAAUACUUUAUGGAAAAGGAAAGGGCAUACCAAAAAUUUAAUGAUCCCUUCCUACCUCAGCUCACUCACACAUAACAGUGAUAAUGCUCAAAGUGAAGGCCAAGAUAUGGGGGCACAGAUUCUGCUUCUCCAUACAUAGAGACCAGAUGGAAAAGGAAAGAAUCAAUCUGCAAAGAGCCAUCCCACUCCCUCAAUACACACCUCCACCUUCCGAAAUGCUAUUGCCUCUGUUUUCUCCCAGCAUAACUGGUGUUUAGAGGUAAUUGAUGUCCUUGACCCAUCCUUUAUAGGAAUUAGGGUGAGAACACAGGUGCAUGUGUUAAUUUGUGUAUUCAUAAUUGCAAAAUGGAAUCCAUUGAUUCUCCCUUGAUACCUUACCAUUUAGAGCUAAACUGUGCCAUGUGCCCUUCCUUAAUCUGGUGAGAACAAUUUGGAAAGUCUAGGAUCAUAGAAUGUUAAAGCUAUCAAGACCUUUGUAGUGAUCUGUUGUUCCAGGCAUAAAUGUGUGUUUGCGGAUGUAUGUUUUCCUAAACUUAGUUGCAAAAUUAGCUUAUGCUUGAUUUAAGAAUAUCAAAUUGCCCUGAAAUAUAAGUACAGUAUAAGUCUGAUCACCCUUAUUUGUACUUCUCAGAAUAAGCACCAACAAUAGGAGCUUUUCUUCAUUCAUUCAAAAAUAUUUAUUGAGCACCAGUUAUGUAUUAGGCUCUGUGGAUCCAGACAGGCAGACAAAAGUAAAUAGAGAAAAUAAUAACAGUUAUUUCACUGUAAGGAGACCUUUUUUUUUUUUUUUUUUUUGGUUCAAGUCUAAGUGAUGGGAGAAACAAUGGGGUGGUUUUUUUGUUUUGUUUUAUUUUAUUUUUUGUCUUUUAGGGCCGCUCCCACAGCUUAUGGUUCCCAGGCUAGGGGUCGAAUCAGAGCUGUAGCCACUGGCCUACACCACGGCAACUUCAAAUCCGAGUUGCAUCUUCGACCUAGACCACAGCUCACGGCAGCACCAGAUCCUUAACCCACUGAGCAAGGCCAGGGGUCGAAUCUGCAUCCUCAUGGAUGGUAGUCCGAUUCGUUUCCAUUGAGCCACGACGGGAGCUCCAACUAGGUGGUUUUUAAAUGGGAGAGUGGCAUCUUUAACAUCCAAAAACCUUUUGUGCGGGCAGAAAUGAUCUAAAGGGAUGCCUGAAGAUUAAUUUUCAGGGAGGCAUCAUCUAGUGGGAAGAAAGACUGUGUAUGAUUGUUUUUGUAGUGCUGAGGCUCAUAGCUGUUUCCUGUUGCAUUUAAUCCUACAAGAAUAUUAAUGAUAAUAAGAAACAAUAAGCUGCCAUGGCAGACUCAUCAAGAUCUACCUCCUGUCAUACCAAUACCUGAGUUCACAGGCAGAACAUCCAGUUGAGGCAAAGGGACAGUGGGAAGCUGAUACAGGCUCUGCUGACCCACCUGUCUGCAGCACUAAGGUGGCCUAUGCCUAUUCUUUUUACAAUAACUAAUAUCUACAUAUAUAUUCUUAAAAAGAGUUUUGGUUUGAAAUAGCUUAAUAUUCUCAAUAAAUCUCGAAAAUAGUAUGGAGAAUUUCCACGUACCCAUCACCCAGCUUCCUCCAAUGAUAAUAUCUUACGUAAUACAUAGAAUGUGUCAAAACCAGAACAUUGACGUCUAUAUCGUAAAAUUAACUUAGGUACAGACCGAAUUUGAAUUGCAUCAUGUUUUACACACUCUCAUCUUAAAUCAUUUAUUUUGGGAGUUUAUAGCACUAUGAAAUUUUAAGUAUGUGGAUCCACAUAACUAUCAGCAUAAUCCGGAUACAGAUUGUCCCACCACUACAAGGAGACUUCUUCAUGUUAUCCCUUCAGUAUAUAUUUUGCGGUGUUGAACGUCAGCUUUUGUUUAUGAACCUUUCAAACCUGAACAUGAAGCAUACUUCUACUUCUGGCUUCACUAUUUAACAUUCAGUUUGUUAAAAUCUACAAAUCUAUUUGUUACAGUGUUUCUAAACCCUUAAACAUCACCAACAUAUAAACAUGUACACAUUGCGUGAAUUCUCUUAAGUAUUUAAAUCUUGAUUCUAAAUGUAAUUAAUCAAAUUCUACAAAACUUUUCAAUAAAAUCAAAUUUAAUUUGAGAAAUUUUUAACUGAUUAAGUCACCUUGGAAACAGGCAUUACAGGGUAUUAUAAUGGUUUCAAAAUUUAUUUUUAUAGUUCUUACCCUAAUACAAAAGUGAUAUUAUGAUAUUGAUUUAUUUCUUCACUUUUUAUUAUGUUUAUAUUAUACCUCCCAGGUUAUAGCAAUCUUACCACACUCAAAAAGAAUAUAUAAUCUCACAAAGAUGUAAGAUGAUGGAUUUUGGAGUAUAAAUAACCGAUUUUUGGUCAUGGCACAAGAUCUGGUUGUGUCUGAGCUCUUUCCAACCUAGAUGAGAGCACACAGGUCCUUCUCUUUACAAUCAUCUCUCACUUGCAAAUGGAACUUUUCAAGCUCAUCUCUUUAACAACCUUCCCAGCCCUUCCCUGCCAAAAGAAAAAACUGGCUUUUUUGUACCUGGGCUACAGUGCAAAACCCAUUAUCUUCCCAAGUUCAUUCAUAAUUUUGAUAGAGUCUCUUAACAUUUUUGGAAAUUUGAGUAUGUUUUGUUCACAUCUUCUUAUGAUGAGAAGCCUUAUCCAGGGUUUUGUAAUUCAUGAGAUGUGAAUCUAGCAUGUGCAGUCUGCUUUCCCCUUGGGUCCUCUGAUUGGUCCAUCAUCUUGAUGCACUCUCUGGAAUUCUUUCUCCACGUGUCUAUUGUGUAUGAGCACCAGGUUCCCUCAGUCCUUCCUAUUCUUAAUAAAAUCCUUUCUUCUCCCAGAAAUAUUUUGUUUACUCACAAUUCCCAAAAUGUACCCAUUUCUGCCUACAUAGAUAAAAAUUCAAGAUAUACUUCAUAGAAACUACAUUUGCCACCUGUAUCAACUAUCCCAAAUGCAUUACAAUUAAUAAAAAAUAAGCAUAUACUAUCCAGUCAAUGACAAUUUUUUAUUUUACAGCUAUCUUUUAGUACAUUUUAUUAAGUGGCACCUGAUUUGAGGGGUUUUGAUGAUGAGAUUGCUGUAGCUUUUAUACAUGCUUUUAUAAGCAACAGGUAGGGGUUUCCUGAUGACAUUUUUGUGUUCUGGCAAAAACAAGGCAUUCUAUUCCCAAGUACAUUUUUUUUUUCAAACCCCAAGACAUGAAAUCAAGUAAGCAAAUAGUUUAAGUGAUUCAAAUAAAGGACAGUAUUUAUUAGUUGACACAUAUGAGAGAGAACCUGAAAACCAGGUAACUCCCCCCGAACAAAGCAGGAUUGGAGUUUUACAGGAGAAGAAGAGAAGGUUGUGUUUCCUUGUGAUCUGGCCUGAAUUGCAU